UACGAAGGGGGCUAGCGUUGCUCGGAAUCAUUGGGCGUAAAGAGCGUGUAGGCGGCUCGGUAAGUCCGCUGUGAAAGUCCAGGGCUCAACCCUGGAAUGCCAGUGGAAACUGUCGAGCUAGAGUCCGGAAGAGGCGAGUGGAAUUCCUGGUGUAGCGGUGAAAUGCGCAGAUAUCAGGAGGAACACCAAUGGUGAAGGCAGCUCGAUGGGACGGUACUGACGCUGAGACGCGAAAGCGUGGGGAGCAAACAGG
rnacentral:rRNA from 1 species